AACGAACGCUGGCGGCAGGCCUAACACAUGCAAGUCGAGCGCUCACUUCGGUGGGAGCGGCGGACGGGUUAGUAACGCGUGGGAACGUACCCAGAUCUAAGGAAUAGCCACUGGAAACGGUGAGUAAUACCUUAUACGCCCUUCGGGGGAAAGAUUUAUCGGAUUUGGAUCGGCCCGCGUUAGAUUAGAUAGUUGGUGGGGUAAUGGCCUACAAGUCUACGAUCUAUAGCUGGUUUUAGAGGAUGAUCAGCAACACUGGGACUGAGACACGGCCCAGACUCCUACGGGAGCAGCAGUGGGGAAUCUUAGACAAUGGGCGCAAGCCUGAUCCAGCCAUGCCGCGUGAGUGAUGAAGGCCCUAGGGUCCUAAA
rnacentral:rRNA from 1 species